CCUGGCGGCCKUAGCGCGGUGGUCCCACCUGACCCCAUGCCGAACUCAGAAGUGAAACGCCGUAGCGCCGAUGGUAGUGUGGGGUCUCCCCAUGCGAGAGUAGGGAACUAGCAGUA
rnacentral:rRNA from 1 species